AAACAACGUUGCCACACGCGGAGAGCACGGAGAUUUCUGGGGCUUUGGAGGGAAUCGUGAGCGGGCGGGAGGAGGCCGGGGACCACACAGAGAAUAACUUGUCUGACUACCAGUAUUCUUGGAUGCAGAAGUGCUGAAGAUGAGCACACACACGUACGGAGAAUUUCUGGAGAAUUCAGCUGCUCAGAACAAGAACUGAGAUCCAGAGAGAUGAUGACUUUGCCCAUAGACCAAACAAAGAAAUACAUGUUUCAGUCCUGUGUCCUCCUGCUAUGUGUGUCCGGAAUUGGUGGGUUCUUGGUCUCACUGACUUCAAGAAUGAAGCUGCGGACCCUCGCGGACCGUGUGUGAAUGCCUGCUCUGUGAGCCCUCAGAAUCUACUGGCUGAAUGAGUGCGUGGAGGAAAUGUGCUCAGAGCUGCUGUGUGUCAUCCUGUGUUUGAAGUGCUCCUGCAGCUAUCAUUCAUCCAGUUAAGAAUUUGAAGAAGUGUGUGCACAAAGACGGAGUCUCACUCUGUUGCCCAGGCUGGAGUGCAGUGGCACAAUCUCGGCUCACUGC
rnacentral:lncRNA from 1 species